rnacentral:sRNA from 1 species
GCCGGGCGUGGUGGCUCACACCUGUAAUCCCAGCAGCUAGGGAGGCUGAGGCAAGAGGAUCCUAAGUUCAAAGCCAGCCUCAGCAAUGGCAAGGUGCUUAACAACUCCGUGAGACCCUGUCUCUC